UGAGGAAUAUUGGUCAAUGGGCGAGAGCCUGAACCAGCCAAGUAGCGUGCGGGAUGAAGGCCCUUGUGGUCGUAAACCGCUUUUAUCAGUGAAUAAAGUGUACCACGUGUGGUGUCAUUGCAGGUAGCUGAAGAAAAGGGACCGGCUAAUUCCGUGCCAGCAGCCGCGGUAAUACGGAAGGUCCGGGCGUUAUCCGGAAUUAUUGGGUUUAAAGGGAGCGCAGGCGGGAGUGUAAGUCAGCUGUUAAAUAUCAGGGCCCAACUCUGUUAUGCAGUUGAAACUAUAUUUCUUGAGUACGCACAGGGAUGGCGGAAUUCAGGGUGUAGCGGUGAAAUGCUUAGAUAUCCUGAAGAACUCCGAUCGCGAAGGCAGCCAUCCGGAGCGUAACUGACGCUGAGGCUCGAAGGUGCGGGUAUCGAACAGGAUUAGAUACCCUGGUAGUCCGCACGGUAAACGAUGAAUACUCGCAGUUCGGCCGUUUAGGUCGAGUUGUCCAGCGAAAGCGUUAAGUAUUCCACCUGGGGAGUACGCCGGCAACGGUG
rnacentral:rRNA from 1 species